CCCCACCGGUUCACAACUGCCAGGUUUCCAUCACAAAUGUGGAGCGUGCCACAUCCAUCCAUCUCCCCUGGAGUGUCCGUUUUUACGAGGCCCAUUUCUGUCAGUGGGUGUAAACAGGUAUUUGAUGAAUGGAUGUCAAGGUGCACUGUUACCUGCAGCCCCCGAUCUGAGGCCUCCUGUGUUACAGCUGUGAGCUGCCGCUCUUCAAACUUCUCUGUCCUACUCUGCCAAAAGUCCUCCAUUUGGCAAGCACACCUUCAUUGUACACCUUCAAAACACACAUCCCUGUAUUAUCUGAGGAGCCUACAGCUGCAGGAGAAAUAUGAAACACUCCUUUCUGAAUAGGUUUACAGCCAGAACUGGACAAGGAAUAACACACUUUAUGUGUUUUGAGUGUCUUUACCUAGGUGGGCCAAUCAUCUCAAAAUCGCCUUGGAAGCCACUCUGCAGUAUAAACCACUGUGUAGACGUGUGUGUACGUGUGUGUGUACUAAUGAAAGAUUUUUCAUUCCUAAUGUAGAGAACAACUUUUUUGUAAAUACAAAAUACUUUUCUGUUUUGUAAAUAUUGUUUAUAAACUGAAUGGAAUUUAAAAACUCACAUGCACCAAGUACCUGUAUUACAGUAGAGUCCUGGGCCCAUCACAACAGGACAGGGCUCUUGAUACGUAUUUUAGGUGAUUUUCCAACUUGAAAAGAAAUAAUAAGAGCUCUGUUCAGGGAUAGGCGUCAUGCACACGUGAAAUCCCUAACCACUAAGAAGACUUCAAUGUAAAUAGGGGAACUGUAACACUUUUUAUAAAACUAUAUUUUGUUAAAAAAAACCCUGCAAAACAGAAGUUCUUGGGAAGCAUCAGCAUUACUGUCAUAUGACUUAACCUCUGGUGAAUGCUGCUUUUUUUUUUUUUUUUUUUUUUUUUUACCAUAUUUGCAUUUGUCUCUUGAUCAGAGGUGAUGCGGCUGAGCAAAAUCCAUUGUUUGUCUCUACUUGUGGUCCUUCAGACAGAUGAAUGGUCCAAGUGAGUUCCUCACCCUCUAACAAUGAUGCAGUAAUUGGGUCCAUGUCCUCCUACAAUCCUGAGAAGUACUUAGCAGUAGACGACGAGUGAAUGAAGGAACCUGUGAUCAGAAGUGCGACAAAGAACACGUCACAGUCAAAGUGAGGUCUGCUGUGAGUUAUGUCAGAUGGAGCAAUUACCAGAGAGGGGGGCCAGGACGAUAAUGAGUACCAGAUGUAGGUUGCUUGCUCUUGUUCUCUUACUUUGACACUUUGUUCUUCUUCAUCUUCUCCCUUUAUUUUCUUCCUCUUUUAUUUGUCACUUUAGUUUGUGUCUUUCUGAGUGUUGUUUAUUUCUUCUCCUGCACCUUGUUCACCUUCUGACCAUCUCUCAGUCUCUAACACCCACUUUCUCCUCGUCCUCCCUCUGACCACCCACAGCUGUCUGGUACAAGGUGCUGGUGAAACCCUCCUUGGAGCGGAGGUGCACUUGUUCGUUCCCCCCGCUGCUAAAUAGAAUCCAUCAAUCAUGCAGGUGUCUCUCCAACAAAGUCAGGAGGCCUCGCUAACACUUUGCACAUGCAGCCGAAGACCAUUUAUCAGCAGAAAUACAAUGUUAACGUAGGACCGCUGCCAGCUUUUACACAACUGCAGUGCACUCUGUUGCUGUUACUCGGCCACAGAUGCACUUACAACAAAGUGCAUGUUUUAAGUGAUUUCGUCCCCCUUCGGUUCUGUUUAUUUGCCUGUGUAAGACCAAGAACAUAAAAACCACUGAGACGCCUGAGAAGGUGGAUCCUUCUGCUUUUCCAAGCAAACCGCAGUGAAGUUUGUUAGGAGUGAAAACAGUCUGACCCAACAGGAAAUCAUCCCUAAACACAAGGGAGGAAUGUUGUUGUCCCGUGUCAUCGCAAGUCCAUCUAGAUCGAAUUGUCAAGGAGCUUCUUGAAAUGGAAAAUGCAAAGAAAAAAAAACUAUAUCUAAAAAAAAAGACAUGAUAAGAGUAAUCAUUGUACUACAUAGGAAAAAUAGGAAACUUUAAAUACAACUGAAUUGUCAUAUUUAAAUCUAAGAUUGAAUUACAUUUGUUGAAACAAUCAAAUUAUAUGUUUGGUUUAACACCACACUGUAAAAUGUUCAAAAGAACAACUUUUAUCAAAGCACUGUCCACUUUACAAGGAGGACAGGACGUCUGUCUGCAUGACAAAAAUGAAGUGGUCAUCUCCAUAGUUCACCAACCUGUUCUGCUACCACUCAAGCCAAAUGGAAGCCCGUCCAAAUGAUGAGCCGUGCUCUGCCAAAGCAGCUGGAAGAGCUAACAGGAAAAAGAACCCGCCGGUUCCAGCCAAAAUUUAUAAGCUUUUGGGUAAUUUUCCAACUAGAGGCAGGUCGUCCAACAGCAUCAAAUGUGACAUUAACCUUUGUCAAUUUAAAAAGGAAAAUAAGUACCGUAGGUGGUGGAUGGGAAACCUCAACUCCAUGGAGCUUUUAGCAAAACAGUGUCCAGCCCCAUUUUAAACAAAUAGAAACUAAAAAAUCCAUAGACCGAUGAUAUUGGGUUUUUGACCUGGCCUGCCUGCAGUGCAGCUCUGUCUCCUACAGAUAAUGUCUGAUGCAUUGUGAAAAGGAAAAGGCUGUUAAAUAUGGUGCCACCUUGUGGUCAUGGAUUAAAAGAUGAAUAAG